GGUUGCGAUCAUACCAGCACUAAUGCACCGGAUCCCAUCAGAACUCCGCAGUUAAGCGUGCUUGGGCGAGAGUGGUACUAGGAUGGGUGACCCCCUGGGAAGUCCUCGUGUUGCAACCC
rnacentral:rRNA from 1 species